rnacentral:rRNA from 1 species
AUACGUAGGGGGCGAGCGUUGUCCGGAAUGAUUGGGCGUAAAGGGCGCGUAGGCGGCCGCUUAAGUCUGGAGUGAAAGUCCUGUUUUCAAGAUGGGAAUUGCUUUGGAUACUGGGGGGCUUGAGUGCAGGAGAGGUUAUCGGAAUUCCCGGUGUAGCGGUGAAAUGCGUAGAGAUCGGGAGGAACACCAGUGGCGAAGGCGGGUAACUGGACUGCAACUGACGCUGAGGCGCGAAAGUGUGGGGAGCAAACAGGAUUAGAUACCCUGGUAGUCCACACUGUAAACGAUGAAUGCUAGGUGUAAGAGGUAUCGACCCCUUUUGUGCCGGAGUCAACACAAUAAGCAUUCCGCCUGGGGAGUACGGCCGCAAGGUUGAAACUUAAAGGAAUGGGCGGGG